rnacentral:rRNA from 1 species
AUUGAACGCUGGCGGCAGGCCUAACACAUGCAAGUCGAACGAGUGGAGGACGGGUGAGUAAUGUCUGGGAAACUGCCUGAUGGAGGGGGAUAACUACUGGAAACGGUCGAUAAUACCGCAUAUCACCGGAUGUGCCCAGAUGGGAUUAGCAAGUAGGUGGGGUAAAGGCUCACCUAGGAGACGAGCCCUAGCUGGUCUGAGAGGUUGACCAGCCACAGUGGAAGUGAGACACAGUACAGACUCGUACGGAAGGCAGCAGAUGGGAAUAUAGCACAAUGGUCGCAAGCCUGAUGCAGGCAAGCCGAGUGUAUGAAGAAGGCCUUGGGGUUGUAAAGCACUUUCAGCGAGGAGGCGUUACUCGCAGAAGAAGCACCGGCUAACUCCGUGCCAGCAGCCGCGGUAAUUC